rnacentral:ncRNA from 18 species
GAAGCGCGCCACAACAUGUAUGCUCGUCCCCGCUGCCGCACAGGGGAAUCCGGUGCAAGUCCGGAACUGUCCCGCAACGGUGUGCGAUGUGCUGCCCCUGCCCUCGGGCUGUCGGGCAGCACUCGCGAGUCCGAAUGCCUGUCCGGCUGCUUCGAAGACGU